rnacentral:lncRNA from 1 species
GAAUUUUGAGAAAAGCUUGCUACAGUAAUAUUGAACUGCAAAUAAUCUGGAAACUCUUCAGAAAUACUAAUAUAAGAAGUAAAGAAUCCAUUAAUAAUUGUAUGUGUGAACUAGAUGCCAUUUCAGAAGAUGAUAAUACAAUGUUGGUCAUCUCAGAUGCUGCAAGUCUUAGUCAUCUUAAAGAAACUUUGAAGGUUUAUCAGAUGCCAGUGAAAAGUGAAGACCUGAAUGCCAGUUUAUCUUUAAAUGCUAUUUGGAACGAGAAGGAACAUUCUCUGACAAGUUACUUGCAGUGCAGGAGCUGCGUCCUUCAGUCAGUGUGUCCGUGUCCUUUGAUAGGAGCUGAGGUUACUCAUUUCAAUAAUAAAGUACAGUCAUGGGUAAGUGAAAUUAGUUUAUUUUGUAUAUUAAAAUGA